GUUUCUGUAGUGUAGUGGUUAUCACGUUCUCUUUACACGCGAAAGGUCCCUGGUUCCGAAACCGGGCAGAUGCA
rnacentral:tRNA from 1 species